rnacentral:ncRNA from 1 species
UCUGGAUAAACUUGUAUUUACCCAAGAGAGUGGAACAAGUCACUUUACGGAAUUAAAUUAAGUAACACAUUUCAGGAUUGAUAAAUACUUACAUAUAAGUGAAAUUUUAAAAUGCUGGGAUAACCGUAUGUCCUUUAACAUAUUUUAUGUUAUAAAAAUAAUCUUGAAUAACUUUGAUUAAGUUUUCAAGUUACGGUCAA